rfam:Parcubacteria bacterium GW2011_GWA2_49_9 TY50_C0021, whole genome shotgun sequence.
GCGACUAUAGUUUAGUGGAAAAACAUUUGCUUGUGGAGCAAAAUUCGAGAGUUCGAUUCUCUCUAGUCGCC